GGAACUUGGAGGUUUGCCUUUCUUCUUUUUGUUUUUUUGCUUCACGCAGACUAGCUAACACCCCGCCGCAUCCUGCUUCGUCCCUCACAUCCAUCGCUCACGCACUCGACCUGCUCGGAUUCUUUCCUUUCCUCUCUCUCUUAGGUUAAAUUUGUCUGGUGCUUCUUUUUUGAAUAUGCCCGACCUGUUUCACCUGCCUCUCCCUCUUUGUUCACUCCUCAUGUAUACGUAAGCUUUUGCAGAGCAACAAUCACAGCGACUAAUCUCUCAAGUCGGUUGAUUGCAAUUUGCAAAAUUCAGGUGAUCGUGGUUCCGAGGACUCACAAGUGAUGGCAUGGUUGAUGGCUUGUUUAUAGCUAAUGUUGCUGUUUUUAUGUUAUGAACUUAUGGAGAAUUGCAGAGCCUUAAUUUAUGUGGAAGGACUUUAAAGGCUACUGGCUUAAAAACCAGCUCAUCUCCAAGUGGUCAUGAAGGUUAUAUCUAGAACCAUGCUCAAUCGCCUCACAUCAAUUUACAAACGAACACUAAUUUUCCCAACACAAAAAAUCCAGUCCUUUUCAACCACCGUUGAGCCCUCAAACCCAACUCCUUCCAUAUUUCCCCAGCCAUCUCCCUACAGGAAACAGAUUUCCCUUGCCAAUCUUCUCCAAAGAUAUGGCUUCCCAGCAUCUCAACUCCACAAUUUCCUAAACAAAAACAAAUUUUUAGAGAAAUCCAACUUGCACGAGCUUGAUCAGUCUUUGCGUAUUCUAACAAAACUGAAAAUUCCUCAGAAGUCUUUGGUUUCAUUGAUUUCUGACUGUCCUGGAGUCUUGGAGUUUGAGUUUCUCAAGAAAUGGGAAAUAGAUUUCCUAGGAUUGGACUUCUUGAGUGCUUCCCCAUUGAUCAUUCGCAAUGUGUUGGAACUUGCUAGGAGAUUCCAGUUAGACCCAGAUGGGUUUGCUAGGAGUGUGAAGAUUUUGAGGAGUCUAGGUUUCUGUGAUGAUACUGUGCGGAGGGUUUUAGAAGGUUUUCCUAGAAUAAUUAUAAUGAAUGAGAGGGAAACUCAAGAUCGAAUUUUAUUUUUGGUGGGACUUGGGUUUUCAAGGCCUGAAAUUGAUCGCCUUUUUUGUUUGUAUCCAAGUGUAUUAAGAUUUGGGAUUGAAGAUAGGUUGAAGCCUUUGCUUUUUGAGUUUGGAGAUUUGGGGUUUAGUGAGAAUUUGGUUAGGAAAGAGAUCGUUAGGGAACCGAGGAUUCUCAGUAUGGAAUUGGGGGAACUUUCAAGGUAUUUGGAGCUGCUGAAGACUUUAAAAUGUCGGGAACCAAUUGAGCAGAAGAUUUUUACUGAAGGAGCACUUAGAGCUGGGUUUGAUGUGAAACUGAGAAGUGACUGCUUAUGCAAACAUGGGUUGACUCGUAGAGAAGCUUUUAAAGUGUUGUGGAAAGAGCCAAGGGUGAUUUUAUAUGGGAUAGAGGAUAUUGAGAAGAAGAUUGAGUUUUUGGUGAACAGGAUGAAAUUCAACAUUGGUUGCUUGGUUGAUGUUCCCAAUUAUUUGGGUGUAAACUUUGAAAAACAGAUUGUUCCUCGAUACAAUGUGAUCAAGUAUUUGAGAGCAAACGGUGGGCUUCGUUUUGAGGUGGGAUUGAGAGAUUUGAUAAAGCCAAGUAGGCUUAGAUUUUACAAUCUCUAUGUCAGGCCAUAUCCAGAGUGUGAGAAAAUGUAUGGCAGAUUUUCAGGUGAUGUGGAAGUUAAAAGCCGACAUCCAGUUGGUCUGUGGAAGCUCUUUAAACCACAGAGGCAUUCAGAAUCCAAAGAGGAGGUGAAAAAUAUGAAGUGCUUCAUGGAGUCGUUGGUUUAGAGAGAGAGAGAGAGAGAGAGAGAGAGAGAGAGAAUCAUUUGUUGUUAUCUAAACGAAAGAGUUUUUAAGCUGUAAAACAAUUGUUGGUGCCAUGCUUUUGGUUGUCUGGUGCCUGACGGUAAAGGAAACUUGCAUUUGUGAGAUUAUAUUUUGCAAAAGAGAGAAAUUUACAGGCUUGGAUUUUCAUAGUUUCAUUUUUGGACACCUGCAAAUCUUUUCUUAGAGUAUGAAGGCUACAGCCACCUGAUUGUUGGGAGUGACUGCUGAGAGGAAAAUUGACGAUAUUAAUGCCUAUGUAUGCUGGUUAAAUGAAAUGGCUGUAACAUCUUUGGAAGAAUAAGGCACUCCAUGAAGUAGGCCUUGUGAAUGUUUCUGAUAUAAGAAUGCGAGAUGAAUGCUCCAUGUUAUUCUGAAGCACUUUCUACUGAUCUGUCCUCUACUUUCUUGGUGCAAAGGAGGCUGCUAAUCAGCAUAAAAAUUGAUUCAUGUAUCAACAAUCACGUUUGAUAUAUUCCAACCAUUAUUUGGGUUUGUGUCCAUUUACACCUUGUUUUCGACAUCAAGAGGAGGCCAAGAUCCGUGUCAGAGUCCCAAAAUUAACAAAGGUAAAUCGAUGAAGCGUUUCUUGUGAGAAAAAAUGGAAAAUUAGUCCUUGUAGAUUUUCUACUUCAGAAAAUUAAGGUGGCUUAAGAUGCAUUGCGGCUGGGUUUUUAUUUUUGCUACCAUUUGGACUGGAAAGCAAUCGAUUGUGGGAAAUUAGUUCUGGGUUCUUUAGUUCGAAUCUUGUGCCGAAUUUGAUUGGAAUUUGUUAUGAGUAGUACUACAUGUAUUUAUACUUUUACUUAUAAUUUUACAUAUAAGAUUCAUUUUGUUA